UUCUGGAAAGUUUUUUUUCAAGUGGUACCAAAAAUGAGGGUCACACCGUGUCGGGGGCAGAGGGUAAUCAAGAGCAGCGGAAUAGUAUAAAUGUAUUAAUUUUUUUUUUCUUCUUCAUUUUACCCAUCAUACUCAUUUGAAGCGACAUAAAUGGUGGCGACUGUCCUCAUCUAUAAAGGCAGGGAAAAAAAACAGUUUGACCUACAGUGUUAUAAAGCAUAACAUUUAUCAGGGUUAAAAAAAAAAAAGAACUGUGUUGAGUGGACAGUGGGGGGCGCUGAGAUCAGAGCGUGGACUUCUCUCUUUACUAUUUUUAAGGCAACCUUUUUCAAAAAGCACUGAUCUGAGAUCAGGCUAACCUGCUCUGUUUGUGAUCGUCCUUAAAGACCACGUAACCAUCUGGUCCAUGUGUACGUUCCCUCGACUGACUUUACAUGUAGGUCAACCACUACAAGAUGAAUGUGCUGACUUAAAUCUUCCUGGCUCUGUGUGGAAAAAGGGGAUGACGUGCACGCUCUAAAAAAACAAAAGGAAUAAAGCAUGGAGAGAAUGGCCAACAUUACAAUGAUACAAAGCAUAUGAGGCGUGUUGUGUAUUCUUUAAAGCACACCACAGAUAACGUACCGUAGCACCUCCGUGUAAUCAAUACCAGGCCCAGGGUGCUACUGUAUUAACAGUACGCUUACCUUGCAUUCUUAUCCUCCAAAUCCACAUAAAUGAACAGCACCUCACUCCGCCCCCGCCCCCGCCCCGCCCCCCACCUUUGCCUCUGUAAAUCAUUACAUCUGUAGGGACCUGGACAAAACACCAUAACAUCAUUUCUUUUGUACUUGGGAUGUCUGAGAGAAAAUAAUGAGUUUUAGCCGGGCCUCGCAAUAAACUCUCCCAAUAUUGGAGUUAUUGUCAGACCUAAU